GUAGUCAUAUGCUUGUCUCAAAGAUUAAGCCAUGCAUGUCUAAGUAUAAGCACUUUAUACUGUGAAACUGCGAAUGGCUCAUUAAAUCAGUUAUCGUUUAUUUGAUAGUACCUUACUACAUGGAUACCUGUGGUAAUUCUAGAGCUAAUACAUGCUACAAACCCCGACUUCAGGAAGGGGUGUAUUUAUUAGAUAAAAAACCAACGCCCUUCGGGGCUCCUUGGUGAAUCAUAAUAACUUAACGAAUCACAUGGCCUUGCGCCGGCGAUGGUUCAUUCAAAUUUCUGCCCUAUCAACUUUCGAUGGUAGGAUAGUGGCCUACCAUGGUGGCAACGGGUAACGGGGAAUUAGGGUUCGAUUCCGGAGAGGGAGCCUGAGAAACGGCUACCAUAUCCAAGGAAGGCAGCAGGCGCGCAAAUUACCCAAUCCCGAUACGGGGAGGUAGUGACAAUAAAUACUGAUACGGGGCUCUUUCGGGUCUCGUAAUUGGAAUGAGAACAAUUUAAAUCCCUUAACGAGGAACAAUUGGAGGGCAAGUCUGGUGCCAGCAGCCGCGGUAAUUCCAGCUCCAAUAGCGUAUAUUAAAGUUGUUGCAGUUAAAAAGCUCGUAGUUGAACCUUGGGCCUGGCUGGCCGGUCCGCCUCACCGCGAGUACUGGUCCGGCUGGGCCUUUCCUUCUGGGGGACCUCAUGGCCUUCACUGGCUGUGGGGGGAACCAGGACUUUUACUGUGAAAAAAUUAGAGUGUUCAAAGCAGGCCUUUGCUCGAAUACAUUAGCAUGGAAUAAUAGAAUAGGACGUGCGGUUCUAUUUUGUUGGUUUCUAGGACCGCCGUAAUGAUUAAUAGGGAUAGUCGGGGGCGUCAGUAUUCAGCUGUCAGAGGUGAAAUUCUUGGAUUUGCUGAAGACUAACUACUGCGAAAGCAUUCGCCAAGGAUGUUUUCAUUAAUCAGGGAACGAAAGUUAGGGGAUCGAAGACGAUCAGAUACCGUCGUAGUCUUAACCAUAAACUAUGCCGACUAGGGAUCGGACGGGAUUCUAUGAUGACCCGUUCGGCACCUUACGAGAAAUCAAAGUUUUUGGGUUCUGGGGGGAGUAUGGUCGCAAGGCUGAAACUUAAAGGAAUUGACGGAAAA
rnacentral:rRNA from 1 species